rnacentral:rRNA from 1 species
ACGAACGCUGGCGGCGUGCCUAAUACAUGCAAGUCGAGCGGACUGAUUAAGAGCUUGCUCUUAUGACGUUAGCGGCGGACGGGUGAGUAACACGUGGGCAACCUGCCCUGUAGAUCGGGAUAACACCGAGAAAUCGGUGCUAAUACCGGGUAAUAUCUGAGAUCACAUGAUCUUAGGUUAAAAGAUGGCUCCGGCUAUCACUACAGGAUGGGCCCGCGGCGCAUUAGCUAGUUGGUAAGGUAAUGGCUUACCAAGGCGACGAUGCGUAGCCGACCUGAGAGGGUGAUCGGCCACACUGGGACUGAGACACGGCCCAGACCCCUACGGGAGGCAGCAGUAGGGAAUCUUCCGCAAUGGACGAAAGUCUGACGGAGCAACGCCGCGUGAGUGAUGAAGGGUUUCGGCUCGUAAAGCUCUGUUGUUAGGGAAGAAACAGUACCGAACGAACUAGGUCGGUACCUUGACGGUACCUAACCAGAAAGCCACGGCUAACUACGUG